AGAGUUUGAUCCUGGCUCAGGAUGAACGCUAGCGGCAGGCUUAACACAUGCAAGUCGAGGGGUAUAAGUCUUCGGAUUUAGAGACCGGCGCACGGGUGCGUAACGCGUAUGCAAUCUACCUUUCACAGAGGGAUAGCCCAGAGAAAUUUGGAUUAAUACCUCAUAGUAUAACGACUCGGCAUCGAGAUGUUAUUAAAGUCACAACGGUGAAAGAUGAGCAUGCGUCCCAUUAGCUAGUUGGUAAGGUAACGGCUUACCAAGGCUACGAUGGGUAGGGGUCCUGAGAGGGAGAUCCCCCACACUGGUACUGAGACACGGACCAGACUCCUACGGGAGGCAGCAGUGAGGAAUAUUGGUCAAUGGACGCAAGUCUGAACCAGCCAUGCCGCGUGCAGGAUGACGGUCCUAUGGAUUGUAAACUGCUUUUGCACAGGAAGAAACAACUCUACGUGUAGAGUCUUGACGGUACUGUGAGAAUAAGGAUCGGCUAACUCCGUGCCAGCAGCCGCGGUAAUACGGAGGAUCCAAGCGUUAUCCGGAAUCAUUGGGUUUAAAGGGUCCGUAGGCGGUUUAGUAAGUCAGUGGUNAAAGCCCAUCGCUCAACGGUGGAACGGCCAUUGAUACUGCUAGACUUGAAUUAUUAGGAAGUAACUAGAAUAUGUAGUGUAGCGGUGAAAUGCUUAGAGAUUACACGGAAUACCAAUUGNGAAGGCAGGUUACUACUNAUGG
rnacentral:rRNA from 1 species